CCAAGAUUUUUCCCAAAUCUUCAUUAAUGCAGCCUGCCAAUUAUUCCAGUUCCUGCUCCUUCCUUGGCUUUCUGGGCACCUCUGGGAUUGCACUUCCUGAGCCCCUUAUGGUAACAGUUGUGGUAAAUUGUCAUCUCUACUCAACUAUGGACUCCUUAGGGACAGACUCACAUCUUAUUCAUCUUUGUAUCCCAACACUUAACAUACUUCUUGGCAUAAGGGAGAGAGGAUUCAUCAACGUCCCAAGAAGAGCUACUUUAGGACUCUAAAAUUAGAAAUGUGCAUCCAGGGAAAGAGGGUCCUUCCCAGUGCUCUGGAAGAAAAGACCAAAUCUUUUUCCUAGGUCCCUCUUAUGGCUUGAUCAGUGCCCCUGUUGGUACUGCUGCCUUGUACAUAAGGACUAAAACUCUACCAGCCUGCCCAUCUUGAAGCUUUCAAAAGAUUUUGAUCCAUGAUAAUGAAACAACAACAGUCCUCUAUUUUUACUACAUUUACUCUACAACCUAUCUUUACUUCCAGACUUUCCCUUUCCAAAUUAGGGGAGUGUUAGUGGCUUUGUGCCUUGGUCUUCUUCACUUCCCUGUGAUCUUAGGAGGCAUUUGUAAGUAAGCCAUUAGUUAUUUCAUCAUCAUUCCAUACGAAUAGAAAUUCCUUACUGUUCCUGGCCUGCUGGAAAACUAAAACAGAUACAUAUCUCUCCCUUUAUAAGCAAUUUUCAUUUAAGUAAAUACUUUCAGUGGGAGUAGGUAUGUAUAGUCUUAUAACUACUCAUAAGUGCUCAUCCAGAAGUGCAUUUGCAUAUGUUUUCAUCCAUUUGACUUAAAUAU